GGUACGACAUUGAAGGUAAACGAAUCCAAAAGGAUGGCACAAACACAAUCGACGACUUUAUUGAAUUGAAAAGCGACCCCAAUGCAUGGAGAAAAAUAAAAGAUAAAAAAAACAACAGAGUAAUUGAAUUAACAGACAGUGAUUUACAAAUUAUAAAAAGUAUUCGAGAAAAUAAAAUAGCAAAAUAUAAUAGUAACACUGAAUAUAUUUAUGAAAAUGAUAAAGAUGAAUAUAAAAAGGAAGGUAUAUCAAAGAUUGAUGAAAAAAACGAAAGAAAAGCGUUAUAAAAAGAUGUUAAAUAAUUUGUUUAUAAAAUUACAAAAACAUGCAAAAAAUAAAAAAGAUAGUACAAAACAAAAUGAAAAUUAUGAGAAACUAUAUGAUUUAUGGCGUAAUAAAAUUUAUAAUAUUUCUCUAAAAUCAGAAGAAAUGAAUUUACCAUUUUUAUUACCAGGACAUAAAUUAAGUUAUAAUCCACCAACUGAAUUAAUAAAUAAUGAUUCUGAAAUAAAAUCGAAAAACAAUAUAGAUAUAGUUAAAAAUUAUGAAUAUAUUUGUAAUUUAGAAUCGUAUGAUAAAACUUAUUUUGAAUUAUACCAAAGAUGUUUAGAUUUAUUUUUAUGUUCAAGAACAAUUAAAAAAGUUUUACAUAUAAAUAAAGAAGACUUAUUACCAAAAUUAGAAUCUACCAAAUCGUUAAGACCAUAUCCUCAGUAUAGUUUUAUCAAGUAUGUUAUAAAUAAUGAAGAAGAAACAGAAGAUAAAAAAAAACUAUUAUACAUAAUAAUAACAUUGAUAUAAAUGAACAAGACCAUUUAUUAUAUAUGAUUCAUUUUAAUAAAUUGUAUAUAUUUGAUAUUUUGUCUUCUUACAUUUUAGUAGUAAUAGAUUUGACUUAUUAUUAUAAUUUUGUAUUAACAAAUAAUAAAAAAAAAGAAGAAAAAAAAAAAAAAAAAUAUAUAUAUAAAUUUGAUAAUAUAAUGAUAAAAGUAAAUAAGUUAUAUUCUAUCGUUGCUAUAUGUUGUAACGAUUAUAUAUUUUUAUUUCAUUAUGGAGAUUAUGUACCUGCAAUUAAGGGAAUUGCAGAAAAUGUGAUAAAUAUCCAUUCUAAUGGCAAUGAAAACAUAAAUAAAAGAAGAAAACAUGUUGUGGGUAUGGCUGAUUUUGAAAAUACGGACUUGAAUGAUGAUAAAGUGGUUUCUUCGGGAGAUAUAAGUGAUAAAGAACACCUUGCUGUAGGUAGCAGCAAGUUAGAUAAUCAGGGUAUAGUGGAUGUACAAAAUGGUGAUGAUGAUGGUGAAGAUGGUGAAGAUGGUGAAGAUGGUGAAGAUGGUGAUGAUGGUGAUGAUAUAGAUAGUAACAAAGAAAGUGAUUUUCCUAAAAAAAAAAUAGUCGAACUAAGUAGAGAAAUUAGUUAUUCCAAAACGAAAUCAUUAAUUGGUAUAUUUAACCAGAAAUUCAAAAAAUCAGAUAAAUUUAUUUAUUCUCCUGACGUAGAUGUAAAAUGGUUCAACAUUAAACCUAACGACCCUCGAAUAAAAUAUUGCGUAGCUAUAAAACACGAAGGGAAGAUUAAGCAUUUCACAUGGAACACAAAUGGGAAUUACUUGUCAGUGACAUGUUUACGAAAGAUAGGACAGUAUCACAUCUGUUAUUUGCAUCAUUUAAAAAACUAUGAAGUCUAUGAAAUUAAUAAAGAAAUACAUAGCAAAAAGAGGGGAUGUCAUUCAAACUAUGUUUUACCCAUGUCGUCCAUAUUAUGUAGUUGCCUUUGAAAACAUUAUAAAAAUAUACGACCUCAAAGCUUCGUCUGUAAAAAAACGAAUUAUAAAAAAACUGAAAGGAGUAAAAAACAUAACAUGUGUUGAUGUACAUAAGAACGAAAGCUAUAUAUUAGCAUCAAAUGAUAAAGGAGAUGUUUACAUUUUUGACUUAGAUUUAUCUUCUACUCCUUAUAAAAAAUUUCAUGUAGAUAAUUGUAGUUUGAAAAAGGUGGAGUUUCAUAAAAUAUAUAAUUUGUUUUAUACAUUAAGUUCCGAAGGAGUUGUAAAUUUAUUUUAUUCAAAAUUUUUUGACGAUUAUAUUACUAAUCCAGUUUUAUUACCAAUUAAUAAAGUAACAACUGAAUCAAAAAUAACUGAUAUA
ensembl:lncRNA